AUGCCCCCACGUGCUGGUGUGUGUGCCGGGUGUGCACGUGAGUCCCCCCACCCCCACCCCCACCCCCACCACGCGGUGCUGACCCCUGUCCUUUCUGAUUCCCCCAGGGCCUCACGGGAGAGGACGGCCAGUCCUACUUCGUGGACUUCGGCAGCACCGAGUGCUCCUGCCCGCCGGGCGGUGGCAAGAUCAGCUGCCAGUUCAUGCCCUGCCCGGAGCUGCCGCCCAACUGCAUCGAGGCCGUGGUGGCGGCCGACAGCUGCCCACAGUGCGGCCAGGUGGGCUGCGUCCACUCCGGCCGCAAGUACGCCGCCGGCCACACUGUCCGCCUGGCGCCCUGCCGGGCCUGCCACUGCCCCGACGCGGGCGGCGAGCUCAUCUGCUACCCGCUGCCCAGCUGCCACGGAGAUGCCACCCCCGGAAACACCUCGGACGCCGAGGAGGGCGACCCUGAGCGGCACUACGAGGACCCCUACAGCUACGACCAGGAGGUGGCCGGGUCAGCCACCUUCAGCCCUCCAGGCCACUCUCUGGCCGGCCGCCCUCCCCAGGCCCACGGCAGCCGCCGCUCUGGGUCCCCCGGCCCCCGUGCAGGCCAAAGCCAGGAGAGUGACGGACAACGGUCAGGAAGACAGGGAGGCGCCGGCCAUCCGGGAGCAGCUGGCCGCAGGCGGCCCCCGGGGGCUGGAUGGACGGCCCACGGCAGGCCCGAUGCCGGCUCACCCUGUCCGGGAGGAGGGGGCCGAGGCCAGGGCCGGGGUGGAAGAGAACCUCAUCCCCGACGUGCAGGCCACGCACCGCAGUGCCGGGCCCCCUCCCACGCUCAGCGUGCCCAGCAUCCUCCUGACCGAGACCACGCAGGGCCCCCCCACAGACCCCACCGAGCCCAGUGCCCCUGCCGCCCUGACCACACUUCAGCGGGAGAUCCCCCGCGCCCCGCCCACCCAGGAAGUGCCCCAGCAGCCGGCCGGGCCCCGGUCCCGGCUGGAGGAGGAGGAGGACCCCAACUCCGUGCACUCUGUCCCGAGAGGCGGCCUGGAAGUGUCCACGAAGGACCUGAUCGAGACGUGCUGCGCAGCCGGGCAGCAGUGGGCCAUCGACAGCGACGAGUGCCUGGACAUCCCCGAGAGCAGCGCCGAGGGCGACGUGUGCAGGACGGCCCAGAAGCACUGCUGCGUGUCCUACUUGAAGGAGAAGAGCUGCAUGGCUGGCGUGCUGGGCGCCAAGGAGGGCGAGGCCUGCGGGGACGAGGACAACGACACCUGCGGCGUCUCCCUGUACAAGCAAUGCUGUGACUGCUGCGGCCUGGGGCUCCGCGUGCGGGCUGAGGGCCAGUCCUGUGAGUCCAACCCCAACCUCGGCUACCCCUGCAACCACGUCAUGCUCUCCUGCUGUGAGGGUGAAGACCCCCUCAUUGUGCCCGAGGUCCGCCGGCCUCCAGAGCCUGAGGCCGCACCACGGAGAGUUUCAGAGGCAGAGUUGGCGAGCCGGGAGGCCCUGUCGCUGGGCACGGAGACCGAGCUGCCCAACAGCCUGCCGGGCGACGACCAGGACGAGUGCCUGCUCCUCCCGGGGGAGCUGUGCCAGCACCUGUGCAUCAACACGGUGGGCUCCUACCGCUGCGCCUGCUUCCCCGGCUUCUCGCUGCAGGAUGACGGCCGCACCUGCCGCCCAGAUGGCGGCCCCUCCAAGCCGGAGGCCACAGAGGAGUCUGCGCAGAGGCCCGAGUCCUCCCAGGAGGCCCCCAACACCAUCUCAUUGUCCGUGCCGCAUCCCAACAUCUGCCAAGACAACGGGCCCUGCAAGCAGGUCUGCAGGGUCGUCGGGGACGCGGCCGUGUGCUCCUGCUUGCCCGGCUUUGCCAUCAUGGCGGACGGCGUGUCCUGUGAAGACCAAGAUGAGUGCCUGCUGGGCGCUCACGAUUGUAACCGGCGACAGUUCUGUGUGAACACCCUGGGAUCCUUCUACUGUGUCAACCACACAGUGGUCUGUGCUGAGGGCUUUAUCCUCAAUAUGCACAGGAAGUGCGUGGACAUCAAUGAGUGCACGUCUCUCUCCGAGCCGUGUCGGUCCGGCUUCAACUGCAUCAACACGGUGGGCUCCUACACGUGCAGACGGAGCCUGGUGAUCUGUGGACGUGGCUACCACGCCAGCGAGGACGGGACCAAGUGUGUGGACGUGAACGAGUGUGAGACGGGUGUGCACCGCUGCGGCGAAGGCCAGACGUGCCACAACCUCCCCGGCUCCUACCGCUGCGACUGCAAGCCUGGCUUCCAGCGGGACGCCUUCGGCCGCGCCUGCAUCGACGUGAACGAGUGCUGGACAUCACCCACGCGUGUCUGCCAGCACACGUGCGAGAACACGCUGGGCUCCUACCGCUGUUCCUGCGCCUCCGGCUUCCUGCUGGCGGCCGACGGCAAGCACUGUGAAGAUGUGAACGAGUGUGAGGCCCAGCGCUGCAGCCAGGAAUGCGCCAACAUCUACGGCUCCUACCAGUGCUACUGCAGGCACGGCUACCAGCUGGCCGAGGACGGGCACACCUGCACAGACAUUGACGAGUGCACCCAGGGCGCCGGUGUCCUCUGCACCUUCCAGUGCAUCAACGUGCCAGGGAGCUACCAGUGUGCAUGCCCGGAGCCCGGCUACACCAUUACGGCCAACGGCAGGUCCUGCAAGGACCUGGACGAGUGCGUGCUGGGCACCCACAACUGCUCCGAGGGUGAGACCUGCCAUAACGUCAAGGGCGGCUUCCGCUGCCUGCGCUUCGACUGCCCUCCGAACUACGUCCGAGUCUCCGAAAUGAAAUGCGAGCGCACGCAGUGCCACGACUUCCUGGAGUGCCAGAACGCGCCCGCGCGCAUCACGCACUACCUGCUCAACUUCCAGACCGGGCUGCUGGUGCCCGCGCACAUCUUCCGCAUCAGCCCCGCGCCCGUCUUCGCCGGCGACACCAUCGCGCUGACCAUCACCAGGGGCAACGAGGAGGGCUACUUCGGCACGCGCCGCCUCAACGCCUACACGGGCGUGGUCUUCCUGCAGCGCGCCGUGCGCGAGCCGCGCGACUUCGCGCUGGACGUGGAGAUGAAGCUCUGGCGGCAGGGCUCCGUCACCACCUUCCUGGCCAAGAUGCACAUCUUCUUCACCACCUUCGCCCUGUGAGGCGGCGCCCGCCGUGGGCAGCGCGUGGAGCCCGGGUCCCCCCGCUGGUCCGGCGCCCUGGCCGCGCGCCCGCCUCCACGCUCCCGCCGGCCGCGUGGGGGACCGGCGCUGUGGCCG
rnacentral:lncRNA from 1 species